GAGAGUUUGAUUCUGGCUCAGGACGAACGCUGGCGGCGUGCCUAAUACAUGCAAGUAGAACGCUGAAGAAAGGAGCUUGCUUCUUUUGGAUGAGUUGCGAACGGGUGAGUAACGCGUAGGUAACCUGCCUUGUAGCGGGGGAUAACUAUUGGAAACGAUAGCUAAUACCGCAUAACAGCUUUUGACACAUGUUAGAAGCUUGAAAGAUGCAAUUGCAUCACUACGAGAUGGACCUGCGUUGUAUUAGCUAGUAGGUAGGGUAACGGCCUACCUAGGCGACGAUACAUAGCCGACCUGAGAGGGUGAUCGGCCACACUGGGACUGAGACACGGCCCAGACUCCUACGGGAGGCAGCAGUAGGGAAUCUUCGGCAAUGGGGGCAACCCUGACCGAGCAACGCCGCGUGAGUGAAGAAGGUUUUCGGAUCGUAAAGCUCUGUUGUAAGAGAAGAACGUGUGUGAGAGUGGAAAGUUCACACAGUGACGGUAACUUACCAGAAAGGGACGGCUAACUACGUGCCAGCAGCC
rnacentral:rRNA from 1 species